rnacentral:rRNA from 1 species
GACGAACGCUGGCGGCGUGCCUAAUACAUGCAAGUCGAACGCAGUGGGGACGGGUGAGUAACACGUUGGUAACAUCCCCUCAGAGGGGAUAACACUUUGAAACCGGUGCCAAACCGAUACUGAUGGAUGGACCAGCGGUGCAUUAGCUAGUUGGUGAGGUAACGGCUUACCAAGGCGACGAUGCAUAGCCGCCCUGAGAGGGUGAUCGGCCACACUGGGACUGAGACACGGCCCAGACUCCUACGGGAGGCAGCAGUAGGGAAUCUUCGACAAUGGACGAAAGUCUGACCGAGCAAUGCAGCGUGAGUGAAGAAGGUUUUCGGAUCGUAAAACUCUGUUGUUAGAGAAGCGGUAUCUAACCAGAAAGCCACGGCUAACUACGUGCCAGCAGCCGCGGUAAUUC